rnacentral:lncRNA from 1 species
ACGUCAGUGUGUCCCUGUGUCACCAUGGGUAGGUUCUGAUUUGUGUGCAGACACAGUGUGUGGACGUAUGUGUUCCCUGCUGCACAUCGAUCUGGGAGUCACUAUGGGUCACACUGCACCACAUUUGACACUGCUGCUGUGUGUCAGUGUGUGUUGUGUCUCUUUGUGGAACUUGUGUGUGUGACACUGUGUAUCACUCAGCGUUGCGAUCCUGCAUCUUACAUCCGGGUGUAUGCCCUGUUGGGGGCCUCUCCCUUCCCUGCCAAGGAACACUCAAGGUGUGCUGUGUUUGUGUGGUUGUGGAUGAGCUUGUCUGGGGUCCUGGGUGGUCUUGUUGCCACCCUGGUGUGGGCUGCAAUCAAUGGGGGCACAUCUGGUGUUUUAUGUGACAGGUGGUUGUUUGUGAAAGGUUGUUUUUCUUGGGAAAUGGGUCAGUAUGUUGUGUCGCCAUAUGUUUACAUACGACUGUUUAUGCUUUGUGGUUGUGCAGCCACACAUCUUGAAAUACAGCGCGUGCGGGUGUCAUAUGUGACGCUCAGUUGUGGCUUGUGGGUCAGAGGGGAUGGCGUGUGUUACAUUUGGGGCAUAAUCCCUCCACCUCAGGGUAAUCAUCCCCGGUUGUGUUUGGUGUGGUCAAGAUGAACCAGUCUGGCCAGGUGUGGUGGCACACGCCUGUAAUCCCAGCAGUAUGGGGGACUGAGGCAGAAGGAUUGCAAGUUCGGGGCCAGCCUCAGCAACUUAGUGAGGCCCCAAGCAACUUAGUGAGACCCUUUCUUAAAAUAAAAAAUAACAAGGGCCGAGGAUGGGGCUCAGUGGUUAAGUAUCCCCAAGUUCAAUCUCUGGUACCAAAAAAAGAAAGGAUACAUUGUGCUGCUUGGGUCCCCUUAGGUGUGCCUGUGUCUGUCUCAGCAGGCAUUCAUUGAUCUGGGUCUCUGACCAUGCAUUUGAACCACGCUGUACACUGGGGCACGUUGUGUGUCCGGGUGAAUCAGUGUGUAUUGUGAAUCAUCCUCAUGAGCAUGUGAGCAUGUGCCUUGGCAUGGCCAUGCACUGCGAUGUGUGUCAGUGUGUGUUUCUCUAUGAGCUGUGUGGCCGGGGGCUGCCAUGGCCGUGUGCCUAGGUGUUGCGUGUUUGUG